AGGGAGGACAAAAUCUUUGACAUCCUUCCACAUUUGGGGCCACCAAAAAUCUCGAGAAAUAAGUUCCAAGGUCUUAUUGAAUCCAAAAUGUCCCGCAGUUGGAAAGUCAUAUCGAGAUUAGAGAACUCUGAGUCGUGUUGGUCCCUUUGGAAUAUACAACCGCUCCUCAAAGUAUAAAAGAUCUCCUUCUACCUUGAACUUGUCAUUUUUGACAUGUUGCGUGAUAUCGAAGGCUACAAAAUCUCCAAUACUUGCAGUACGU
rnacentral:lncRNA from 1 species